rnacentral:rRNA from 1 species
GAUGAACGCUGGCGGCGUGCCUAAUACAUGCAAGUCGAGCGAACAGACGAGGAGCUUGCUCCUCUGACGUUAGCGGCGGACGGGUGAGUAACACGUGGAUAACCUACCUAUAAGACUGGGAUAACUUCGGGAAACCGGAGCUAAUACCGGAUAAUAUAUUGAACCGCAUGGUUCAAUAGUGAAAGACGGUUUUGCUGUCACUUAUAGAUGGAUCCGCGCCGCAUUAGCUAGUUGGUAAGGUAACGGCUUACCAAGGCAACGAUGCGUAGCCGACCUGAGAGGGAUCGGCCACACUGGAACUGAGACACGGUCCAGACUCCUACGGGAGGCAGCAGUAGGGAAUCUUCCGCAAUGGGCGAAAGCCUGACGGAGCAACGCCGCGUGAGUGAUGAAGGUCUUCGGAUCGUAAAACUCUGUUAUUAGGGAAGAACAAAUGUGUAAGUAACUAUGCACGUCUUGACGGUACCUAAUCAGAAAGCCACGGCUAACUACGUG